CUCCCUCUGCCAGCAGAGGAAGAGGUUGACUUGGAGCCAAGAGAAAUUAAUUGUUCUCCGCUCAUUGCCCAAGCUGAGUGAAGCACUGAAAAUAAACGAAUAGCAUAUGUGCCUGCUCGGGUUUACCAUUUUACAUCCCAGGUUGCGCUAUUUCAGUGGCGGAUUCUUAGGGGUGGUUUCAACCUCAGCACCCUCUGGAAGAGGCAGGUACCCAGCUCUCCUUGCUGUGCAGAUCCAGGCAAACACGGGAUGUGUUUGAGCACCGCUCAGGCUCAUGCACCAUGCUGGGUAUCAGUGGGAAUCAGACCUGAACGCUGCUCAAGCUUCCUUCUGCCUUGGUUCAGGCUGUCUGGCACCCAACAUGGAGAGGAGCGGACUGGCCACCAGCCCAGAGUCAUCAUUUCUCUGCUUCGCUUCUCUUCCUGUGGCACUGGGGACAUACGGCAAGUGACAGGGCUGAGGAGAAGCAGGGCCCAGAACAAGAAACAUUUGCACUUGUUCCUACCUGCUGUCUCAAGUGACAAGCAUGAAGACAAGGGAUUUGAAGGCUCAGAAAAUGAAGUGGAGCAGUAUAAAGUUGACACGGGGCCGACCCAGUAGGUCUGUCCUCUUCGUGAUCAGCAUGGCAAUUGCAGCCGUCUCACAUCUCCCUGCUCCUGGAGAUUGGAUGUGGACAUAAAAUGCCUGAAAAUACUAAGCCAAGAACAGAUUUCUUUUUCCUGAUAAAAAUCCAGAGGCCUUGGAGAAGUACUUGGGUGAUUCAGGCUGGGCUGUGGGAUUUCAGUACUGUGGAUAACCAACCAGACUGUGGGAAAAGCCGUGGCCAGAAACACCCAAAUCUGCCAGCUCACCCCAGUGAGGAGCAUUUAUUGUGGCCAGUGAAGCAAGCAUAUGGCAACCACUGCCUCAGUCGAAUGCCUGGGCAAUGCCGAGGCAGUGCCCAGCAGCCCAGCACAGCCGGUGUAAGAACACCAGCAGCCUUCUGACUCUGGUUAAUGGUCCCCCUUGGUGGGUUCCUGCCCCAUCCGAGCAAGGAGGAAGAUCUCUGCCAGCAGUUGACCACAUCCUGAAGCAAGCGUUAAACUUGACGACAUGUUGGCCAGUAAUACAAAGACAAAUACAAAAUUAUUAUUUUAAUAAUUAAAAAAUUAAAGUUGGGGCAGGACAAUACCUUUUGCCCAGACUGCACUCAAAGACGUUUUCUCUACAUCUGUAAUGGCCUCCUAUUUCCAAUCUGUGCAAUUUUGGCCUUGAAAAUGGUGUCAUUAAAUGUUAUCUUAUCUCUCCUCUGUGCAUGGUUCAUGGGUCUGAGGCUGUGAUAGCUCAGGGAGAGCCGUGCCAUUGUGAGCUGCUUUGAAGGCAUUUGUAGGGCAGAUAUAUUCCUAUCUGCAAAGCAGGCCUGGGAGCAUAAGACACCUAUUGUCUCAGCCACCGAGGGAGGCCAGGUGCUCUGCAUAAAGCCUUCAGCACGCUAAGGAGAUAAAUGCUGACUCUUCUGAGCCACCCACACUUUCUGUCCUCUCUUUUGCAUAACUGACAUCAGUGUUUGCUGGUGUCACUGAACACACAUAUCCUGGUGUCUAUGAGCAACCUGCUCUAGUGGGAGGUGUCCCUGCCCAUAGCAGGGGGGUGGAAUUGGAUGGUCUUUAAGGUCCCUUCCAACCCAAGACAUUUCAUGGUUUUAUCCAGAUGUGCCUGCCAUUCGGAGCCAUCAAUCUGCACUUGUUCUUGCAGGAGCCCUUCCAGCUCAUAAAUCCAUGUGUCUCCCAUGUGUCUCCCUGAGCAUGGAGGGGGUCACUCAGUGUGAAUUGUUCUUGACCAAUUCUGUCACCCAAACUUGCAUUGGUCUGGGAGUGAGUCACUCGGAUUCAACGAAAGAAGUAACUUUAUCUCAGACUUAACGCGAGUCCACAUUAAUCACUCUGUAAGGGAAAUGUGCGCCCAUAAAGAAGGGAGCUAGAAUGGAGGUGAUUUGCAAGCUGGCAAGGAGUGUUUGGUUUGCAUCCAUUUGCAUUUAGCCAAGUAAAUAUCUUGAGCUCCUGGUGUGCAAAGACCCUGUCUUGUACGGGAGAGAGAAUGAGUUGCGGGGCUCCAGCUCUUCUCCAGAGGCUGGCCGCACUGCCAGGCUUGCUCAGUCCUGCAGUACGCUGUUUUUUUUGGGUGUGUUUUGCUGUCAGCUGUAACUGAUAUGAGCCCAUAGAAGAAUGAGCCGUUCAUUUCACGAUCAGCUGUGAAAGGAAUUGUUGGCUCCGUGUUAUCAGCUCAAAGGAAAUAUCUUCUCCAGAGAACGCACUUCCACAAAUCGGGCACCUUGGCAAGAGACCAUUGGGAGACUGAAGUUUCAUUUUGUGGUAACUAAACACCUCAAGGAAGCUGUGACUGGGGAUCUGAAUGAUUUCUUUAUUCGUUCUGGAGCGGAACCCGGCCGUAUACGGGUUUUUAAGGGGUCACAAUUUUGUGCACACUCACCGUGCAUUUUCAGAGUAUUUAUUUCAGCCACACUCGGUGAACCAGGAGGGUCGCCUGCCUCAGUGCCAAAGGUCAGAAAAUGGAAAUGUGAUCUGACAGAGGCACGUAGACAAAGGCAUGCACUAUGUGGAACGGUGUUUUGGGGGAGCAGAUAGCUGCCGACAUAGUGUUUAACCGCAUCAGGCUUAGGGAGCCUCCCAGAGACUGAGCCUCCCCAGAAUGCAGAGGUGACAACGUGGUAUUUAGCAGCAUAAAGACCUUUACAGCAGAGCUAAAGGAUUUAUUAAUAUCAGCCUCCAUCACAGAGGAUGUUGGGAAAUAUUGGCCCCAGACGUAUUUUUUCAGGCUCGAAUCAUAGACAGUGAGAUGCUAAAACAUGAGGUGUUGAACAAGCUAAAGAGCCACAAGCUGCUAGGAAUGAAAGGUAUAUACCCCAAGAGAACUGGAGGAAUUUAAGAAAAAAGGAGCUGAGUUGCUAACAAAAAUAUGCUGCCUCUCAUUAUGUCAUAUCUGCAUUUUAGAAAGAGCUGAUCCUGGGGCUGGGGGACCAGCGAGACCUUCUCUAAUGCCAGCUGCAAUGGUUGAAACUAAUCAAAACCAGAAGUUUAGUUGGAUGAAUAUGACAGAAUGGGGACGGCUUGGUCUGGAUUCACUGAAGAAAAAUUGUCUCUCUAAUCUACUAGAGUUUUUUUAGUACAUUGCCAGAAGAGUGGAUGUGACUUUCUUGGACUUUCAAGAAGCAUAGGACAAAGUCCUUCACAGGAGGUAAUCUGGGAAACAGAAUAGCCCUAAUAUAUGAGACUGAAUAUUGUCACGGACUAGAAAUUGGCUAAGAGAAAACAGAAUAAAGGAUCGGUUGCAACAAGG
rnacentral:lncRNA from 1 species